rnacentral:piRNA from 1 species
UGCUAAUGAAAGAGUUUGAAAUUACAUGG